UACGUAGGGUGCGAGCGUUGUCCGGAAUUACUGGGCGUAAAGCGCGUGUAGGCGGCUUGGCAAGUCGGAUGUGAAAGCCCACGGCUCAACCGUGGAAGCGCAUCCGAAACGGCCUCGCUCGAGUCUCGGAGAGGAAGGUGGAAUGCUUGGUGUAGAGGUGAAAUUCGUAGAUAUCAAGCAGAACACCUGCGGCGAAGGCGGCCUUCUGGACGAUGACUGACGCUGAGACGCGAAAGCGUGGGGAGCAAACAGG
rnacentral:rRNA from 1 species